rnacentral:misc_RNA from 1 species
GAUGAAGAACGUAGCGAAAUGCGAUAAGUAAUGCGAAUUGCAGAAUUCAGUGAGUCAUCGAAUCUUUGAACGCACAUUGCGCCCUGUGGUAUUCCGCAGGGCAUGCCUGUUCGAGCGCCAUUUCAACCCUCAAGCUCUGCUUGGUGUUGGGCCCUGCCCGCUGCGGCCGGCCCUAAAGACAGUGGCGGUGCCGCCUGGCCCUGAGCGUAGUACAUCUCUCGCUCCAGUGCCCGGUGGUAGCCUGCCAGAACCCCAACUCUCGUGGUUGACCUCGGAUCAGGUAGGGAUACCCGCUGAACUUAAGCAUAUCAAUAAGCGGAGGA